UGGUGGAGUGAUUUGUCUGGUUAAUUCCGAUAACGAACGAGACCUUAACCUGCUAAAUAGCCAGGCCGUCUUUGGAUGGUCGCCGGCUUCUUAGAGGGACUGUCAGUGUCUAACUGACAGAAGUUUGAGGCAAUAACA
rnacentral:rRNA from 1 species